rnacentral:rRNA from 1 species
CUUAACACAUGCAGUCGAGCGAUGAAGCACCUUCGGGUGUGAAUUAGCGGCGAACGGGUGAGGAACACGUGAGAAAUCUGCCUUCAACACUGGGAUAACUCCGGGAAACCGGGGCUAAUACCGGAUAUGAAACCUGCGGGCAUCCGCGGGUUUGGAAAGUUUUUCGGUUGAAGAUGAUCUCGCGGCCUAUCAGCUUGUUGGUGAGGUAAUGGCUCACCAAGGCGACGACGGGUAGCCGGCCUGAGAGGGCGACCGGCCACACUGGGACUGAGACACGGCCCAGACUCCUACGGGAGGCAGCAGUGGGGAAUAUUGGGCAAUGGAGGAAACUCUGACCCAGCGACGCCGCGUGCGGGAUGAAGGCCUUCGGGUUGUAAACCGCUUUCAGCAGGGAAGAAGCGAAAGUGACGGUACCUGCAGAAGAAGCACCGGCUAACUAUGUGCCAGCAGCCGCGGUAAUACAUAGGGUGCAAGCGUUGUCCGGAAUUAUUGGGCGUAAAGAGCUCGUAGGUGGUUCGUCACGUCGGAUGUGAAACUCUGGGGCUUAACCCCAGACCUGCAUUCGAUACGGGCGAGCUUGAGUAUGGUAGGGGAGUCUGGAAUUCCUGGUGUAGCGGUGGAAUGCGCAGAUAUCAGGAGGAACACCAAUGGCGAAGGCAGGACUCUGGGCCAUUACUGACACUGAGGAGCGAAAGCGUGGGGAGCGAACAGGAUUAGAUACCCUGGUAGUCCACGCCGUAAACGGUGGGCACUAGUUGUGGGGACCUUCCACGGUCUCUGCGUCGCAGCUAACGCAUUAAGUGCCCCGCCUGGGGAGUACGAUCGCAAGAUUAAAACUCAAAGGAAUUGACGG